AUGUCUAAACUCAGGCAGAUUGGAUCAUACCUGGCUACGAUCUAUACUCUUACAGAAUCAUCAUGGAUGAUGGAACUGUCCACAAGACUGAGAAAAUCCCCAGGCUCCAAUGGCAGAGGUGCACCAGAGUGGCUGAGAGGCAGAGUGGAGCAGCAGAAAAGGAGAGAAGAGAAGAAGCAGCCAGACAUCAGAGAGAAGCAGCUUGACUUCAGAGGGAAGUUUGACAGUGGGACUUUGGAGAAGAGUUCAGCUGAGGAUGGCCAACUCUGCGGUCCUAUGAUGAUUUCUUAGGUUUGAGGGACCUUUUCUUGCAUUUGUGUCGAUGAGGGGAAGGUAAGCUGGCUAUCUGCAUGUGCAUUUACUUGGCAGUGAACACACUGAAGAGGCGUCAGAGGACCAGACAGCAGCCCAAGCAUUUGAACUUGAACCAUUCAGUCCCUCUAAUCACAACACAGGCAGAUAACAUACUAGAUGCCUUCUUGGGGAAGUAGUCAUGGGGAUUGGGGAACUUUUAAUACUAGACAAAUGGCCAUCGAAAUUGAAUGAAAAUAAACCAACCCGAAUGAAAGUUUUAAUACUGAUA
rnacentral:lncRNA from 13 species